rnacentral:rRNA from 1 species
AUUGAACGCUGGCGGCAGGCCUAACACAUGCAAGUCGAGCGGAGCGGCGGACGGGUGAGUAAUGCAUAGGAAUCUGCCUGGUAGUGGGGGAUAACGUCCGGAAACGGGCGCUAAUACCGCAUACUAGCAGAUGAGCCUAGGUGUGAAUAGCUAGUUGGUGGGGUAAAGGCCUACCAAGGCGACGAUCCGUAACUGGUUUGUGAGGAUGAUCAGUCACAUUGGAACUGAGACACGGUCCGGACGCCGACGGGAGGCAGCAGUGGAGAAUAUUGGACAAUGGGCGAAAGCCUGAUACAGCCAUGCCUCGUGUGUGAAGAAGGUCUUCGGAUUGUAAAGCACUUUAAGUUGGGAGGCGUUACCAGCAGAAUAAGCACCGGCUAACUUCGUGCCAGCAGCCGCGGUAAUAC